GAUGGUGUAGAGGUUAAGCACGCAACCAUAUACAGAGGCUACAGUCCUCGAAGUCCCAGGUUCAAGUCCCGGACCCGGCGACA